AUGAACGCUAGCGACAGGCUAACACAUGCAAGUCAGGGGUAACAGGGUAGCAAUACCGCUGACGACCGGCGCACGGGUGAGUAACGCGUAUGCAACCUGCCUAGUAACUGGGGAAUAGCUCCCUGAAAGGGGGAAUUAACACCGCAUAACACUAUUGAUUCGCAUGGAUUAGAGUUAAAUGUAGCGAUACAGGUUAUAGAUGGGCAUGCGUGACAUUAGCUAGUUGGUGAGGUAACGGCUCACCAAGGCUACGAUGUCUAGGGGUUCUGAGAGGAAGGUCCCCCCACACUGGUACUGAGACACGGUCCAGACUCCUACGGGAGGCAGCAGUGAGGAAUAUUGGUCAAUGGGCGCAAGCCUGAACCAGCCAUGUCGCGUGCAGGAAGAACCUGCCCUAUGGGUUGUAAACUGCUUUUAUAGUAGAAGAAACACAUCUACGUGUAGAUGUCUGCCAGUAUACUAUGAAUAAGCAUCGGCUAACUCCGUGCCAGCCGCCGC
rnacentral:rRNA from 1 species